GGAUGUUGGCUUAGAAGCAGCCAUCAUUUAAAGAAAGCGUAAUAGCUCACUGGUCGAGUCGGCCUGCGCGGAAGAUGUAACGGGGCUAAACCAUGCACCGAAGCUGCGGCAGCGACACUAUGUGUUGUUGGGUAGGGGAGCGUUCUGUAAGCCGUUGAAGGUGUCCUGUGAGGGAUGCUGGAGGUAUCAGAAGUGCGAAUGCUGACAUAAGUAACGAUAAUGCGGGUGAAAAACCCGCACGCCGGAAGACCAAGGGUUCCUGUCCAACGUUAAUCGGGGCAGGGUGAGUCGACCCCUAAGGCGAGGCCGAAAGGCGUAGUCGAUGGGAAACAGGUUAAUAUUCCUGUACUUGGUGUUACUGCGAAGGGGGGACGGAGAAGGCUAUGUUGGCCGGGCGACGGUUGUCCCGGUUUAAGCGUGUAGGUGUGUGUUCCAGGUAAAUCCGGUUCACUUUAACACUGAGGCGUGAUGACGAGGCACUACGGUGCUGAAGUGACAAAUGCCCUGCUUCCAGGAAAAGCCUCUAAGCAUCAGGUAACAC
rnacentral:rRNA from 1 species